UACAGAGGUCUCAACCGUUGUUCGGAUUCAUUGGGCGUAAAGGGUGCGUAGGCGGUCGCGCAAGUCGGAUGUGAAAUCUUAGGGCUCAACCCUGAAACUGCAUUCGAUACUGCGUGGCUCGAGUACUGGAGAGGAGACUGGAAUUUACGGUGUAGCAGUGAAAUGCGUAGAUAUCGUAAGGAAGACCAGUGGCGAAGGCGAGUCUCUGGACAGUUACUGACGCUGAGGCACGAAGGCCAGGGGAGCAAGCGGG
rnacentral:rRNA from 1 species